UCCCAUUAUAUACCCUCAGAACUGACACCCUUAUUGUUCGCAUUCCAAGCACAGCUGUUGCUUCACCAACUUUUUCUACACUUCUCAUUUUCUUCCGCACUACUCGCCGCAAUUUCCGAUCGGGUUACGGUGUUGUACCGUCACUACGUUUUUGGCCAAACACAUCCAAUUUCACACCCACGAACUAGAGUAAGAUUGGAAGAGUAAUUUGUCAAAAGAGAGGAUAACAAAAAUCCUUGGUAAACCAAAUUUGAACAAUGAAAAAAAAAGAUACAUUAAGUCAAAAGCUCCAAUGUCAUUAUAUUCUGUUAUUCUGUAUAACUCGUCGUAGUUGUAUUUAAUUUAUUGUUGAUUUAAAAACAAAAAUGUUUUGCUUUGAAAUAACAAUUUCCUCGCUAUGCACUGAUUACAGUCUGCAGUUGUGGGGGGAAACGCACGCGAGCUCUGAUUUACAUGUGCUGUUGUUGCUGUGCCAUUUCUUUGCGUUUUGAGAGUGUGGAGUGUACCUUUUGUUCUGGUGCUCUCGUUCAAGUGACAAUGACAGCCUGUCUAUCAAGAUCCAUGGAACCCGCCCCAUUCACCCCUCCUGCUCCCUGGCCGUAGCAAGCAGGGAGCAGUGAAGACGAGGUAGCUAGUUUUGAAGCCGUGGCAUAAAUGAUCUCAUCUCAGCCCGAUCUCCGCUUUCUACAGAGGAUCCUAUGACCAACACCGGAAUAAAGUAAAAAUAAAGUGCUGAGAUGUCUUCUCAGUCUGAUGGAAAAUGUAGUGUGAUGUCACACAGGCUCCUGUCCUGUGUUCCCUCCCUACUCUGCUCUUCCCUGCUUGUUGGUCCCUUGGAGUCAACAGCCGUCCCCUGUUGUUUUGAGGCAAGUCUUCUGAUAUCUUCUCAUUCAGACAGAGAUACUGCUUCAGGAAGGUUAUUUUCACUGUUCCUCCUUUCCCUUUAAUGACAUUAUAGCAGUUAUAUUUUUUGGAGCAUGGUGUGUAUCUCAAACAUAUCACAUUUAAACCUGUGUGGUAUUCUUUUGACUUUUCUCACCCAGUAUGUGUCCUAUUAACUUCACUCCGGUAGUACAGAAGUGAAC
rnacentral:lncRNA from 1 species